UCCCGCUACCGGCUUUCUUCAUGAUUUUGUGGACUUUUUAUUUAAUCCCGCGAGCAAGCCCGAGAGACAGCGAGACCAGCUGCACGACUUGGUUCAUCAUCUUCCACACUGAAUCCCCAAAUCUUCUCCUUUGUUAUCCUAUACAGCUAUGGAGUUUCGAGGUUUUUAAUCCAUUUGAAGGAUCGGUUUGUGAAUCUUCUUUCCCGACGUUUUGUCUUCUCAUCUGAUCAACGAAAACGUUUCGCCUAAUUAAUUCAUCCUCUUUAUCAUACUAUUUAACUCCAUCACCUCUCUCUUCAAGCACGAUCUGUUAUUGAAUGCACUUUAUUACUCUGCGAGGCGGUGUCUCUACUCCUAUAAAAUAUUUGAAGUCAGGCCGAUGUUCUUCCACCUUGGAAGGGAGAUUGCUUAGAUUCUGGGUUUUAAGUUCAUAUAUAGAUGUUCAUGGUGAUAAUCAGCGUCACCCCCUUAGAGACAAAGAUUCACAGAUAUUGGCUAUGCCGUCAAGCUCCACCACUUCGUUCUUUCUAAGAACGUUAACAUAUUCUCAAGAAGAGGGUUUGGUUGCUGACGACGAGAGCAAGAAAAUCUCGGAAGCAACAUAGAUUUUGGUUAAGCGAUUGGUUCAGUUGACAGCAAACAAGAAACUAUUGUAGAAACAGAGGAAAUAAGAAAAUCCAAAAGCUAAAGCCAUGAAGAUUAUGACUGAAAUGGAAUCUUAAUCAAAUGACAGUGAUUGUGGCAUAGGAAAAGUUGUUGACAUGAGCUCUUUCGGAAAUAAGGCUACACUGAUUCUUGAGUUGUUACAGCCAUAAUCUGGAGUGAAACCCUUCCCAGUAUGUAAGAACACCGAUAAAGCAUUGGAUCUUGCUCUACUGCAAUCAGCUACUGCAUCGAUAGCCUUUUGCUCAAUUGUUAAUCCUGGACAGAUAUUGAAGAAUGUAUAAGUAGUUUCAGUUGUUUGAUUGCCACUGAAAAGAGUAGAAGUUUGUAUUGGAAGAAAGUACAAGAAGUAAGUAAGAGUUACAUAAACAAUGAUGGUCAUGGAAGGUUCUGCUGUGGCUUGCAAGUGCUUGGGAAAGUGAUGAGAUUGUCAAAACGUUAAAGUACUAAACGAGUUUGAUCUGUGAUGACUUUCUGUUAGCACCUUACACCUACCAUUCUACCAAGACCGUUCAUAUUGGAGUUGGGUUGCAGGAUGUGGAAACUAUUGUGGUGAAAAAAGAUUUUAUUUUUCUAUAUAA